UUAAAAUGUAAAUAUAAAAACUAAAUUAGUAAAAGUUAUGUUCUUAAAAUUUAAAGAUUUUGGCGGUAUUUUAGUCUUUUCAGAGGAACCUGUUCUAUAAUUGAUAUUCCACGAUUAAUUUUACUUUUAUUAUAAAUUUGUAUAUCGUCGUAGAUGAAUAUUUUAUAAGAAUAAAUAUUCAAUAUUUUUAAUUAAAAUUAAAAUCAGAUCAAGUUGCAGUUAAUAUAAAAGAAGAAAUGGGUUACAAUAAAUUAAUUUAAAUGGAUUAUAUAAUGAAAUUUAUUUAUGAAAGUGGAUUUGAGAGUAAUUUUAAUUAUUUUAUUAAAAUGAUUUUAGCUCUAAAAUAUGU
rnacentral:rRNA from 1 species